AACGAACGUUGGCGGCGUGGAUUAGGCAUGCAAGUCGAACGAAUCCGGCCUUCCACUUAGCCCCUGUGACUCACGGGGGUUAAGUGGAGGGCCGGGGAAGUGGCGAAAGGGGCAGUAAUGCGUGGGUAACCUACCCCGGGGACGUGGAUAGCCUUCCUAACGGAAGGGUAAUACACGGCGAUCUGUCUGGGAGACAUCUCUCGGCCAGGAAAUGAAUUUCGCCUCGGGAGGGGCUCACGUCGUAUUAGCUUGUUGGCGAGGUAACGGCUCACCAAGGCAAAGAUGCGUAGCGGGUGUGAGAGCACGACCCGCGCCACUGGCACUGAGACACUGGCCAGACUCCUACGGGAGGCUGCAGUCGAGGAUCUUUGGCAAUGGGCGCAAGCCUGACCAAGCGACGCCGCGUGUGCGAUGAAGGCCUUCGGGUUGUAAGGCACUGUCGAGGGGGAGUAAGACCCGAAAGGGUUUGAACUAUCCCUGGAGGAAGCUCGGGCUAAGUUCGUGCCAGCAGCCGCGGUAAGACGAACCGAGCGAACGUUGUUCGGAAUCACUGGGCUUAAAGGGCGCGUAGGCGGGCGUGAAAGUCUGCGUAAAUCCUCCAGCUUAACUGGAGAAGUGCCGUGGAUACUGCAC
rnacentral:rRNA from 1 species